rnacentral:rRNA from 1 species
UACGGAGGAUGCGAGCGUUAUCCGGAUUUAUUGGGUUUAAAGGGUGCGUAGGCGGUCGGAUAAGUUAGAGGUGAAAUCCCGAGGCUCAACUUCGGAAUUGCCUCUGAUACUGUUCGGCUAGAGAGUAGUUGCGGUAGGCGGAAUGUAUGGUGUAGCGGUGAAAUGCUUAGAGAUCAUACAGAACUCCGAUUGCGAAGGCAGCAUACCGGCGCUCAACUGACGCUCAUGCACGAAAGUGUGGGUAUCGAACAGG